rnacentral:rRNA from 1 species
UACGUAGGGUGCAAGCGUUGUCCGGAAUUAUUGGGCGUAAAGAGCUCGUAGGCGGUUUGUCGCGUCUGCUGUGAAAACUCGGGGCUCAACUCCGAGCUUGCAGUGGGUACGGGCAGACUAGAGUUCGGCAGGGGAGACUGGAAUUCCUGGUGUAGCGGUGAAAUGCGCAGAUAUCAGGAGGAACACCGGUGGCGAAGGCGGGUCUCUGGGCCGAUACUGACGCUGAGGAGCGAAAGCGUGGGGGGCGAACAGG